AGAAUUUGAUCUUGGUUCAGGACGAACGCUGGCGGCGUGCUUAACACAUGCAAGUCGAGCGAUGAAGCUCUUCGGAAGUGGAUUAGCGGCGGACGGGUGAGUAACACGUGGGUAACCUGCCUCAUAGAGGGGAAUAGCCUUCCGAAAGGAAGAUUAAUACCGCAUAAGAUUGUAAUAUUGCAUGGGUAUAGCAAUUAAAGGAGUAAUCCGCUAUGAGAUGGACCCGCGUCGCAUUAGCUAGGUUGGUGAGGUAACGGCUCACCAAGGCGACGAUGCGUAGCCGACCUGAGAGGGUGAUCGGCCACAUUGGGACUGAGACACGGCCCAGACUCCUACGGGAGGCAGCAGUGGGGAAUAUUGCACAAUGGGGGAAACCCUGAUGCAAGCAACGCCGCGUGAGUGAUGACGGUCUUCGGAUUGUAAAGCUCUGUCUUCAGGGACGAUAAUGACGGUACCUGAGGAGGAAGCCACGGCUAACUACGUGCCAGCCGCGGC
rnacentral:rRNA from 1 species